GACGAACGCUGGCGGCGUGCUUAACACAUGCAAGUCGUACGGUAAGGCCCUUUCGGGGGUCCACGAGUGGCGAACGGGUGAGUAACACGUGAGUAACCUGCCCACAACUUUGGGAUAACGCUAGGAAACUGGUGCUAAUACUGGAUAUGUGCUCCUGCUGCAUGGUGGGGGUUGGAAAGCUCCGGCGGUUGUGGAUGGACUCGCGGCCUAUCAGCUUGUUGGUGGGGUAGUGGCCUACCAAGGCGGCGACGGGUAGCCGGCCUGGGAGGGUGACCGGCCACAUUGGGACUGAGACACGGCCCAGACGCCUACGGGAGGCAGCAGUGGGGAAUAUUGCACAAGGGGCGCAAGCCUGAUGCAGCAACGCCGCGUGCGGGAUGACGGCCUUCGGGUUGGAAACCGCUUUCAGCAGGGACGAAGCUUUUUGUGACGGUACCUGCAGAAGAAGCACCGGCUAACUACGUG
rnacentral:rRNA from 1 species